GACGAACGCUGGCGGCGUGCUUAACACAUGCAAGUCAAGGGGGCCCAGCAAUGGGCAACCGGCGAACGGGUGCGUAACACGUGAGCAACCUACCGAAAUGUGGGGGAUAGCCGGCCUAACGGCCGAGUAAUACCGCAUACGCUUUCCGAGAGGCAUUUCUUGGAAAGGAAACCUACGGGACAUUUCGAGGGGCUCGCGGCCUAUCAGCUAGUUGGCGAGGUAACGGCUCACCAAGGCAACGACGGGAGCUGGUCUGAGAGGAUGGCCAGCCACAUUGGGACUGAGAUACGGCCCAGACUCCUACGGGAGGCAGCAGUGGGGAAUCUUGCGCAAU
rnacentral:rRNA from 1 species